rnacentral:misc_RNA from 1 species
GCAAACUUGGUCAUUUAGAGGAAGUAAAAGUCGUAACAAGGUUUCCGUAGGUGAACCUGCGGAAGGAUCAUUAACAAAUCUGCUGCGUGCCGGGUCCGCGAGGGCUCGCCAUGCAAAUAUACCCCGAGCCGGUGUAACAGCCGGCUUUGGUUGGGCGGCCUCCGGGCCGCUCGGGCAGUGCUCCGGUGCUGCCCACAUAGACGCUUGUAAGUUUGACAGAGUGCAGUUGUAUACACAAAAUGACAACUUUUAACAAUGGAUCUCUUGGCUCUUGCAUCGAUGAAGAACGCAGC